CGCCUCCUGUUAAUUACAUAGGAGGUCCAGCCUGCCCAGUGACCUCAAGUUCAACGGCCGCGGUAUCCUAACCGUGCGAAGGUAGCGUAAUCACUUGUUUUCUAAAUAAAGACUAGUAUGAAAGGCACCACGAGGGCUAAGCUGUCUCCCCCUUCUAAUCAGUGAACCUAACCUCCCCGUGAAAAGGCGGGGAUUAAAUUAUAAGACGAGAAGACCCUAUGGAGCUUAAAACAUUACUACAUGUGCCCACACAUCGCUCAAGAGCUCUAACCACACGCACAAUGUAGAUAUGUUUUAGGUUGGGGUGACCACGGAGAAAAAUUUAUCCUCCGUAAUGAAAUAACCACUUUUAACAACAAGCCACAACUUUAUGUAUCAACAAAUUGACAUCCAUUGACCCAAUAUAUUGAUUAAUGAACCAAGUUACCCUAGGGAUAACAGCGCAAUCCACUUUAAGAGCCCCUAUCGACAAGUGGGCUUACGACCUCGAUGUUGGAUCAGGGUACCCAAGUGGUGCAACCGCUACUAAAGGCUCGUUUGUUCAACGAUUAAAACCCUA
rnacentral:rRNA from 1 species